UCGCCGCCCGCGAUUCGGCGGGAAGUCCAUUGAACCUUAUCAUUUAGAGGAAGGAGAAGUCGUAACAAGGUUUCCGUAGGUGAACCUGCGGAAGGAUCAUUG
rnacentral:rRNA from 1 species